rnacentral:rRNA from 1 species
CCUACGGGAGGCGGCAGUGGGGAAUAUUGGACAAUGGGGGGAACCCUGAUCCAGCCAUGCCGCGUGUGUGAAGAAGGCCCUCGGGUUGUAAAGCACUUUCAGUGAGGAAGAACGCCUGGUGGUUAAUACCCAUCAGGAAAGACAUCACUCACAGAAGAAGCACCGGCUAACUCCGUGCCAGCAGCCGCGGUAAUACGGAGGGUGCGAGCGUUAAUCGGAAUUACUGGGCGUAAAGCGCGCGUAGGUGGCUUGAUAAGCCGGUUGUGAAAGCCCCGGGCUCAACCUGGGAACGGCAUCCGGAACUGUCAAGCUAGAGUGCAGGAGAGGAAGGUAGAAUUCCCGGUGUAGCGGUGAAAUGCGUAGAGAUCGGGAGGAAUACCAGUGGCGAAGGCGGCCUUCUGGACUGACACUGACACUGAGGUGCGAAAGCGUGGGUAGCAAACAGGAUUAGAUACCCUGGUAGUC